UGCUGCUAAAAUGCUAUAUAAUCAUGGGGUUGAGCACAGCUAAUUUUCAUAAAAUAUAAUAAUCAUAACACUAAUCACAGACCAGAUAUAUAAUCACUGGCAACAUUAUGCAAAUAAGGUUUACAUGUUCGGUUGAGUUCUUUAAAAACCUGCAGCUCCCAGAUAAAGCAGAGGAAUCAGAUGUGCUACAUCCAACUGGCAGACUCAUAACUCACACUGUCAAUAUGAAGUUGUUUCUUGUAAUGUUAAUGACACUUUUAUCAGGAGUUCACUGUGAUGUACAACUUGCCCAGUCAGAGUCAGUGGUGAUAAAGCCGGGAGGGUCUCACAAACUGUCCUGCACAGCGUCUGGCUUCACAUUCAGUAGCUACUGGAUGAGCUGGGUUAGACAGGCUCCUGGGAAAGGAUUACAGUGGGUGUCUAGUAUUACAGGUGAUGGGGGUAGCACAUACUAUGCUGAUUCAAUUAAAGGAAGAUUCACCAUCUCCAGAGACAAUAAUAACAACAAGUUAUAUCUGCAAAUGAACAAUCUACAAACUGAAGACACUGCCGUGUAUUACUGUGCUAGAGACACAGUGACAAAUAAUCACAGAGCAGUGCAGCAAAAACACUAAUCCUGUCCUUCCAUG